rnacentral:rRNA from 1 species
GCUGGCGGCGUGCUUAACACAUGCAAGUCGAGUGCGCGCCUGUAGCAAUACAGGUGGCGCACGGCGCACGGGUGCGUAACACGUGGGCAAUCUGCCCUCUGAUGGGGAAUAACCCGCCGAAAGGCGGGCUAAUACCGCAUAAAAUUCCUUGGACUUAUGUUCGAGGACUCAAAGGCGUAAGUCGUCGGAGGAGGAGCCCGCGCACGAUUAGCUAGUUGGUAGGGUAAUGGCCUACCAAGGCUUUGAUCGUUAGCUGGUCUGAGAGGAUGGCCAGCCACACUGGAACUGAGACACGGUCCAGACUCCUACGGGAGGCAGCAGUGGGGAAUCUUGCACAAUGGGCGAAAGCCUGAUGCAGCGACGCCGCGUGGGGGAUGAAGCAUUUCGGUGUGUAAACCCCUUUCGAUCCGGACGAAUGCCUCGCAAGAGGAGUGACGGUACGGAUAUAAGAAGCCCCGGCUAACUACGUGCCAGCAGCCGCGGUAAGACGUAGGGGGCCAGCGUUGUUCGGAAUUACUGGGUGUAAAGGGUUCGUAGGCGGUGUGGCAAGUUGGGUGUGAAAUCUCUGGGCUCAACCCAGAGACUGCUUCCAAAACUGCUGUGCUUGAGUGUGAGA